rnacentral:pre_miRNA from 1 species
GAGACACCCUUAUGGGGUAGGACUUGCUUCCGUGGGGCUUUGGUGCUCACUGAUUUUGCCCCUUGAGUGUGUCUCU